GGAGAGAUGGCUCAGUGGUUAAGAGCACUGACUGCUCUUCCAGAGGUCCCGAGUUCAAUUCCCGGCAACUACA
rnacentral:tRNA from 1 species